UCUUACUGUGGCCUGUACCGUGAGCCGGGAAGCGCUAGUUAAGCACCCGCGAGAGGGGCGAGAGGGGCGAGAGGGGCGAGAGGGCCGAGAGGGGCGAGAGGGGCGAGAGGGCCGAGAGGCGCCAGGGCCCAGGCCCGCCGGUGGGAGCCAUUCCGCUCUGACGCCCCUCCUCCUCCAGGUUGGCCGUGGUUGCUCCGCUUGCCCGCCCGCUGCCCAGAUGGCCCUGAGAAAGGUCUCGGAGCGGCUGUUGAGCCGUGGACCAGGCCUGAGCUUCCUGCGCGGGUGGGGCUCGGCGGCGGCGCAAACUGAAAAGGGCGGGAAGACACAGAAAGGAGCGACUAAGUCCUCGCGUCCUGAAUUUGACUGGAGAGACCCGCUGGUGCUGGAGGGGCAGCUGACAGCGGAUGAGAUCCUCAUCAGGGACACCUUCCGCACCUAUUGCCAGGAGCGCCUCAUGCCCCGAAUCCUGCUGGCCAAUCGCAACGAAGUUUUUCACCGGGAGAUCAUCUCAGAAAUGGGGGAGCUUGGUGUGCUGGGCCCCACCGUCAAAGGGUAUGGCUGUGCUGGAGUCUCGUCUGUGGCCUAUGGGCUCCUAGCCCGAGAGCUGGAGCGGGUGGAUAGUGGCUACAGGUCAGCAAUGAGUGUCCAGUCUUCCCUUGUCAUGCACCCCAUCUACGCCUAUGGCAGCAAGGAGCAGCAGCAGAAGUACCUGCCCCGGCUGGCCAAGGGGGAGCUCCUGGGCUGCUUUGGGCUCACAGAGCCCAACCAUGGGAGUGACCCUGGCAGCAUGGAGACCAGAGCCCGCCACAACCCAUCCAACAGGAGCUACACCCUCAAUGGGACCAAGACCUGGAUCACCAAUUCACCUGUGGCUGACCUGUUUGUCGUAUGGGCUCGGUGUGAAGACAGCUGCAUUCGGGGCUUCCUGCUGGAGAAGGGGAUGCGGGGCCUCUCAGCCCCCAAGAUUGAGGGCAAGUUCUCCCUGCGGGCCUCGUCCACAGGCAUGAUCGUCAUGGACAAUGUGGAGGUGCCGGAGGAGAAUGUGCUGCCUGAUGUAUCUGGUCUGGCGGGGCCCUUCGGCUGCCUGAACAAUGCCCGGUUUGGCAUUGCCUGGGGCGUGCUCGGAGCUGCUGAAUUCUGUUUGCACACGGCCCGGCAGUACACCCUGGAUAGGAUCCAGUUUGGCGCCCCACUGGCCAGGAACCAGCUGAUUCAGAAGAAGCUGGCAGAUAUGCUCACUGAGAUCGCGCUGGGCCUUCACGCUUGCCUGCAGCUUGGACGCUUGAAGGAUCAAGACAAGGCCACUCCGGAAAUGGUCUCCCUGCUGAAGAGGAAUAACUGUGGGAAGGCCCUGGAUAUCGCCCGCCAGGCCCGAGACAUACUAGGGGGGAAUGGGAUUUCUGAUGAGUAUCACGUGAUCCGGCAUGCCAUGAACCUGGAGGCUGUGAACACCUAUGAAGGCACUCAUGACAUUCAUGCUCUGAUCCUUGGAAGGGCAAUCACAGGGAUCCAGGCGUUCACGGCCAGCAAGUGAACAUACUUCACCCAGGAGCCCAGAUGGUCUCCAGCUCCUUCCCAGGGAAACGCUGUGCUCUGAGCUUACUCAGGGAGGUGGCAGAUGGAGCCAAUUUUUAUAGUGGGAAGUGAGAGACACUGAUUCUUAAUUAUCAAAAUUUUCCCUUUGAAGUCAUUCAAAUGUGUUCCUUAAAAAGAUGGGACUCUCUGUACCAAGUUUCUCAACCCACUUUUAACCGUGGACGGGGAUGGAUUCCACUUAUCUUGGAACAGAAGCUUCUCUUGACAGGGGAGCAGGAAGACGGAAGGAGAGUGACAUGGAAGCAACCUCUGGUGUCUGACUGAGCAAAUCCCCCACACACCAAGAGUUCACUGUGUGCCCUCUGACCCUCCCAUCUUGAGGGUGGCACCCACAUGCAUGUGUUUAGUCAUACCUCAGGCUGGAUGCACAGGUCUUUGUACACGGUCUCCACGGUGUGGCACACUUGUUUGAGCUCUGUUUCCAAAUUGCUGAUCUUUGUCAUUUUCUGGGUGAACUCUUGGAGCUUGUCCUGAAUGAUCUUGUUAUGGUGAUUAUAAAUCUGAUACAUCCUCUCCUCUAGCUUUUCUGUCAGGUCUGAAACCUUUUAAAAAAUAAAGCAUGCUUUUAGAAAAUCAAACAAGAGGCAUCACAA